GGUGGCGUGGUGUAAUGGUUAGAACUGGAGUCUCUGAAUCUCCAAAUCUGGGUUCGAUUCCCUUUGCGACCU
rnacentral:tRNA from 1 species